AAGGUCUCCGUUGGUGAACCAGCGGAGGGAUCAUUACCGAGUUAUUCAACUCCCAAACCCCCUGUGAACCUUACCACACACGUUGCCUCGGCGGGACCGCCCCGGCGCCCUCGCGGCCCGGACCAAGGCGCCCGCCGGAGGACCACCAGACUCUCCUGUCGCAGUGGCAUUUCUCUCCGAGUCAAACAAGCAAAAUGAAUCAAAACUUUCAACAACGGAUCUCUUGGUUCUGGCAUCGAUGAAGAACGCAGCGAAAUGCGAUAAGUAAUGUGAAUUGCAGAAUUCAGUGAAUCAUCGAAUCUUUGAACGCACAUUGCGCCCGCCAGUACUCUGGCGGGCAUGCCUGUCCGAGCGUCAUUUCAACCCUCGAGCCCGUCUCGGUGUUGGGGGCCCCACGGCCGCGAGGCCGCCCCCGAAAUGCAUUGGCGACCCCGCCGCGGCCUCCCCUGCGCAGUAGCUCCCAGAGAACCUCGCACCGGAAACGCGGAGGCGGUCACGCCGUAAAACAACUCUCCUCCUGGAAGUUGACCUCGGAUCAGGUAGGGAUACCCGCUGAACUUAAG
rnacentral:rRNA from 1 species